AUUGAACGCUGGCGGCGUGCCUAACACAUGCAAGUCGAGCGGUAACAGGUGUAGCAAUACAUGCUGACGAGCGGCGAACGGGUGAGUAAUGCUUCGGAAUCUACCCAAUGGUGGGGAAUAACCAGCCGAAAGGUUGGCUAAUACCGCAUACGUCCCACGGGAGAAAGCAGGGGAUCGCAAGACCUUGCGCCAAUGGAUGAGCCGAAGUCGGAUUAGCUAGUUGGAGGGUAACGGCCUACCAAGGCGACGAUCCGUAGCUGGUCUGAGAGGACGACCAGCCACACUGGGACUGAGACACGGCCCAGACUCCUACGGGAGGCAGCAGUGGGGAAUAUUGGACAAGUAGGGGGAAACCCUGAUCCAGCGACGCCGCGUGUGUGAAGAAGGCCU
rnacentral:rRNA from 1 species